rnacentral:lncRNA from 1 species
ACUGUGAAGCCAUGGAGGGAUGGAUCUGUGGAUCUGGAUCACACUCAGAUCACUCUAUAGUUAAUUUUUAUGUGGACCAAAUUAAUUUUUGGGCUCUCUGAUGAAGGGAGAAAAGCAGGGAGUGAUUCACAGCAGGACCUCAGCCUCCUUCUCACUGAAGCAUGAGGUUUGUUUGGGAUUGGCCUCGUUAUUACAAAUUUCUUCAGAUUUAACUCUCAGACUUGCAAUUUUCUCCUGUUCUGAAGGAGCUGCUUAUAUUUUACAGCUUUUCUUGAAGCCAUGGCAGGAGCUGUGCUCGAAAUGGUGCCGUGGGAGUUGGUAUCCCAGGUCAGGAGACCAGACAUCAAAUCCUUGGUGCACCUUGGCAGCUGGGAACGCUCCACAAAGCAGGAAUGCUCCAGCAAACCCUGCCAAAGCAGCUGCUGGGAGCACACCACCAAAGGCUCCAGAACUUUCUACACCAGGCUUCCAACUUUCAUCCUCAGAUCUGCACCCUGAUGGAUUUUUAAAUGGUCCACGAGGAGCAGGAUUUCACGUCUGUGAUCAGGUUGCCCCUACCAGCAGGGUGGGCUGGACUCGGAGGUUUUAGGUAGACCCCAGCACCAAAAAAACUACAUCAGACACAGCUCUUGGAGGGCCUCCAAAAGAAUAAACUCAUUUGCAAUUAGAGUUUAUUUUCUCA